AGGGGAGGGAACGUAACUCGGAGCAGCCGCAGGGCCACGCCCAGCAGAGCCUUUCGGACCAGAGCGUGGACCCCAGGUUUCUUUCCAAGGGUGGAGAGGAGCACUGGGCGGUUUUGGGCGGGGAGUGGCAUGCAGUGACUCGGGGAGCGGCGGGGGGGACAGGAGGCAGCUGGGUGGCCACACUUUCCGUGGUCUCUACCCCCUCCCCAUGCCAGAGAGUCCUCACAGCCAGCUGGCCCGAAAGGACAGAAAUCCUAUCCUGGCCACAGGACCAGGGUCCGGGCUCACUGUGGACAUUGUCUCCCUGUCCUCUUCUGCCUGGGGGAGGACUUUAAGGCCCCUGUCGGGGCCUCCGUUUGGGUUCGUCUGCUGGUUCGACUGGGGGUUUGGAGGGAGCCCACAUAGCUGGAGUGCCCUUCUUAUGACGUCGUAUCUAAGAGGUUGGUUUGUGCGCCUUCUCUCCAAGCAUCAGGCUCAACUCACCGGAGGAGGAAAGCGAAGCCUCUGGGCGCUUGUGACAGCUGACAUAUUCCCCGCAAGCUGAGGGAUGGUUCCCAUUAAAUGAGGAUGUAUGAUCAAUCCCCGCAAAUUAAGGCUGCCUCGUGAGCUGCAGACUGCAUGCUGGGAGAGCCUGAAACCAAGAACUGCCGGAAGGAGUAGACGACAAAAACACCAAGACAAUCUUGCUCUUUCUGGUCCAAAGACAUUUCAGUAGGACAGAAAACUUUUUUGGCAACAUCCCCAUGCCCCAACUCAACGCCAUGGAUGCCCCACGCCACCCCACCCCAAGGUGAUGUCAGCAGAGCCUGAGAGGGGAGUGCAGACACCCACCCCUCUCCCCUACAUUGGGCAGAGGCACUCCUUUCCUGUUUCAGUGUCAAUGAAGACACAUAGGAGACCCUGGGCUUCCUCUCUCAGGGCAGCUGGUGCCCCUCCCACUCCCAGCGUAGAAAUUUACAGGAGAAUUUCAGAUGGGAGAGGGCUGAAGAAAGGGAUUCUUUCAACUCACAUAAGAAGUCCUGGGCAGACACCUAACCGCUCACAUGUGAAACUGACCUGAAUAAACAUGCUGUGGCCUCUGGGCAGUAUACAAAGGAGACCAGAAUAGCGCUGCAAGGAUUCCAAUCCAAACUGUCACCGGACCUACAGCCCACACCUGUAGCCAGGACCUGUGCUGGCUGUAGCCUGAGUGACCGCUGUUAAAAUGGAAGAUUCAUAGAGGAUCCAGAUUGCCUAAUAUACUACCCAGAUGUCCGGGGUACAAUAGAAAAUCACUCAUCAUAACAAGGGGGUCUCUGGAAUGUGCAUGGCACGGACUUACACGAUCACACAGGCAGCCCUGAGAUAGGGCACCUACCUGUACAUCAAUGUUCUAAAGUUUCAAAUGUCUGUAAAGAGUGUCCUUGGGCACCUGCUUUGGGCAGUGAGGAGACCCUCAUGACUCUUUGUGGAGUAUGGGGGGCAGAGGACUGGAAAGGGGGAAGGAGAGUCAGGAGGGAAGGGAAGGGCGAUUUGGAAUGGGGAACACACACCAACACCUUCCAACGACGUUGAAAUAGGGUCCUUUCCUUGGGUUCAUCACACGAUUGACCAUUUUCUGUUGUAAGUGCUCUGGAUUUAUGUUCAUGGCCAAAGGCAAUAAACAGACACUUGAUCGUUUUCUGAGUUGGUGGAAGGAUGAAUGAUUCGUUAUUCCUAAAGAACUAAAUUCAUAGAGCUCCCUAUUAAGUUUCAGGCCAGAAUAAUGCUGCCCCGCUCCUGCGUCUGCAGUAAAACCUGUGACUCGUGCCACUUUGACUUGCACCAUCCAUUCUGUACCUGCCUCAGCUUUGCCUAAGAAAUAGGAUAUUUGGGAGACAGAUCUUGUCUAUUUUCUUUUAGAAUGAGCAGACUCGCCAAACACUGUUAGAUCAUCAAGAAGCAAAAUGCCUUGACCACAUGACCUCAGUUAUCCCCCUCAGAAAUGUUUCCAUUCAGUGAUGAGAACAGAGGGGCAAUACAAACAGUGUGGAAACAGAAUACGGCUUUCGGUUUAGACUACCUAAGACUGGUUAAUGCCCUUUAUGUUUUACAAAGCACUUUCACGUACGACAGUGUCUUGUUUGAGCCAUACAUUACUCCGUGUUGUGCCCUGUGGACUUGCAGAGAGGUUCAUUAACGCCCUAGUCGUGAUGAAUGGGUUUCCCAUCAUUAGACAAGGAUUGAGUUAAAUCCUUGGGUGUAGCAUCAGCAGCUCUCUCCAGAUGUGUUUUCACGCCACCUUUUGUUUAAAAAUGCCAGUUGUGCCCCAAGUGUUUCCCUUUUGACUGGCUUUUAGGAAACUUAUAGCUAGAAGUAGUGUUAACUUGUUAUAAUAAGCGCAUAUCGAGACACUGGGACACUCGCCUCUUCUGCUUCUUUAAGAUGGUCUCUAAUUGUACUACUUUUCAUUAUGUUCCAUCGUGCUUUUAGGCAUGAAAGGGGCUUUGGAUGUUAUCCAAAUGGCAGUGGGAAGCCAUAAAAGGGUCUGGCAGGGAGGUGACCUGAUUGAAUAAGGAU